rnacentral:lncRNA from 1 species
AGAGUGAGAAACCUUGUUCUAAAACCAUGGUGCCCCUAAAAAGGGAGGGAGAUAGCUCCUGACGGAAGGCCUGCACCUGUGCUGAUAGGCCAUGCACAUGCGGACAUCCUCCAGAGAUAGCAAAUGGGAGCAAACCAUUGCACACAUUCAUCAUCCAUUCAUCCAUCUUUUAAGCAUUUUAAAAAUGCCUCCUAUGUAGCAAAGAUUGCAAUAGAUGCUGAAGUCAGUAACAGGAUUCAGUGCCUAGUGAAGGAAUUCUCUAAGUUCUUCUUGCCCCAACAUAUAUCAUUAAAAAAACAAAAACAAAAACAACAACAACAAAAACUCUUGAUCUGUGCCAGACAUGGUUUCAAGUGAUUUACAGGAAAUAACUUGUUUAAUCUUUGUAUUCAUAAUCCUCUAUGAAUGUAGAUGCUCCCGUCAUCCCAUCACACAGCGGGUGUACUGUCCAGGCUGAGAGUCAUUGUAUAGUGGGACAGACAUUUCUAUAAAAAAUCAAAACACUAUGAGGGUGGGGUCGAGGCUCGGUGGUAGAGUGCUUUCCCCGAGUGCUCAAGGUCCUGGUUUGAUUCUCAGACCACAAAAACUAAAACAAAACAACAAAUUUUAACAUUAUGGUAUAAGGGUAAGAGCUGUGGGACUAUUUCUAAGGCAAUGGAGACCCUUGGUUCCAGAUAAAAGACUGACAGAGUUUAUAAACCCCAAGUGGAAAUGUCUUCCCUUCCUGCUUAUUUAUUAUCACAGAAUCUGUGCCUAAUAUGUGACUGACUUUUCAUAGCGUUUGACUGAUCCUGAACAAAGUCAGUGUGAAGCACGCCUCAGCUCACAGCCUCCCAUCUGGUUUUGGCCAAACUGAGUGGUGGGGAAUGUUAUCUAAUGCGCCAGAAUUUAGCUCCUGACCAUUUCUGAAAACAAGUUCUAGUUCUGUUUCUCUUUUCUCCCCAGCUGUAGGAAGGUAUAACUGGCAAAUAAAAAUUGAAUAGAUUACAACAAACAAUGCGAUAUUUUGCUCAGUUCUGUUUUUUUUAAUUGAUUUUAUUAAUUUUUAAAAAAUACACGACAAC